UACGUAGGGUGCAAGCGUUAAUCGGAAUUACUGGGCGUAAAGCGUGCGCAGGCGGUCUGUUAAGACAGAUGUGAAAUCCCCGGGCUUAACCUGGGAACUGCAUUUGUGACUGGCAGGCUAGAGUAUGGCAGAGGGGGGUAGAAUUCCACGUGUAGCAGUGAAAUGCGUAGAGAUGUGGAGGAAUACCGAUGGCGAAGGCAGCCCCCUAGGCCAAUACUGACGCUCAUGCACGAAAAGCGUGGGGAGCAAACCGG
rnacentral:rRNA from 1 species